rnacentral:lncRNA from 1 species
UUCGCUUGUCUUUUAUUUGUACUAACUUCUACUGAUUCUAUAGUAUUUUAUUUUUAUGGAUUACAGAUGCAUUCAAACAGCCGGUUUAAAUCAAAAGAGGACUGCGGUCUUUUAAUCAAAAGAGAACGGCAGACUGCAGGUAUGCAAGGCAUGCAGCUGCAACUACAGGUACUGCCAUCGCAAAUCAGUACAAAACGUGACUGUCUGUCCCUGGUUCUGUGAUUAACACAACUCUGCUACCUCCAUCCCUAGACCAAUCAAGACCACCCCAAAUGUAAUAUGUGAUGUGCUGCUUCUGCGCGAACAGGGAGAAGGGAUCCAUCAGCUGCACUGCACAUGACGUUCUCAUUGGCCAGCAGUCAGGACUGAGACCACCUCAUCCUUCUUCCCGUAUGGCUGAGAAAAGCCCAAACAAACAUGACCAAAGUCAUGUAUAUUGGAUCACUUUCGCCUGACUCUUGUUGUUAUUCUUACAGAAAUCACUAUGUCAUGGCUUAGGAGAUGGAGAUCGUGUUAGCUCUUCUAACGUAUGGUGUAGUAUACCUAUUCCAAAGUGUAGACGCCGUUGGAAAUGAGUCCAUUUUCUGUAGUGUAUGGUGUAGUAUGCUGUAUACCUAUUCAAAAGUUCUCAGAAUUAUGACACCCAUUAAAAUUUGGCUCGUGAGUGAGUUGUGACAUGUCGUUCGUAGUUACGUUAUGAUUAAGGUUCUAUUUAGCACGACUCCAGUUUACUAGUAAAUGCGCUAUUUUUUGUUUCAGCUCUACCAUUGGUAAAUCGUUUAGUAAAGCAUCCACGUCCAGAGCUCAUUAAAAUAUACUCUCAUUGAAUCCAGGUAAUAUAGCUCUACCAUUGAAGCUAUAGAGCUUCAAUAGUGUCCUCUAAAAUAUUCUUUAAGUAUAGAAGACGAUCAUCCAUUCUCUCUCUCUCUGAAUAUAGAAAUUCUCUCUCCUCUCAUCUAUUUAUUUUAAUAUUUUAAACAUUAGACUAGGUGAGUAUCCGUGCGUUGCAACGGGAACAUAUAAUAUCAUGAUAACUUAUAUAUAUAAUAUGUUUUAUAUUGUUAUAAAAAAUGUUUCAUAAUCCAUUUAUGACCCCAACCAUACAUAAAUUUUGUUAUUUUAAUUUAGUUGUUUCACUACUACAUUGCAACCAUCAGUAUCAUGCAGACUUCGAUAUAUAUCAUGAUUUGCAUGGUCUCAUCAUUGGAGAGCAUGUGCCACACCUGCCGGUAGAAGUUCCGUCGUACAUCGUUAGUCAUCAUACACGUACCACCAUACACGUUUGCUUAAACAAAAAGGUAAGCGUGUGUUUGCGAAGAGAAUUAAAAGCAGACCAGCACAAAAGCUACCCCGACGAUGGCGAGUAGUCAUUGUUGUCAGUCCUCCUCUGCGUCACCUCCGGCGCCGAGAUGACGCCACAAUCCUUGAUAUAGUAGCCGUCGAACACACGCGACAUGGUGAGUACCGAUGACUUUUGGCUGGACUGUCAAAUGAAGUGCACCCCGGGCUCAUCAGCGAGGUAGUACACCUGGUCGUUACACCACCGGAUGUGCUACUCUUCUACAUACAUCUUGUUCAAGGACACUCACACAACAGCAACAAUGGCCGUCAUCCCAGUGCACAAGAAUUCAUGGCCGGUCAGUAGCGACUUACAUGGCAGGUUGGGCUUCAGGUGGAUGAUGAGCCGGACAGCGUGAUGGCGCCGUCGUCGGUUGCGAUACCCAGAACAACCCGAGAGUCGUCGGCAUUGGCGACGAUCAUGAGGUCCUCCUGUUUGACGAUGGACAGCGCGGUGCAGCCGCUCUGGACCGUGUCCAAGCGAUGGCUGCGCCGGAGCUUGCCGUACACAGUGACGCAUGGGCCACGUAGGAUUGCUUUCAGAGGUCGAACUGGCAGUCGCCAAGCUUCUUCUCGUCGUCAACGAGCGACGCGAGCGCCUCGUGCUAGUGGUGUUUGUUCAGGGUUUCAAGAAAGAAACAUGGAUUCAUCUUUGGCAUUGGUUUAUGAAAAUGACUCAUAAGUCAGAUCCAUGGAAAAAUAUUACGGAGAAUAAAUGUCACACAUGCAAAAAAAAAAGAAUUUAAGUUGAAAACAUUAUUCAAACAAAAGAAAUUGCAUGCAAGACUAUUCUUUAAAUAUUAUUCCCUCAAUCCAAAAAUAUAAUUUAAUAAUCUCGGUGAUACUUAUCUACUACUACACAUUAUGUUAGGGUAGCAUGUGGGCUUCGGGAGAGAUGUAGUAUAUAUUUUUACUAUAAUAGAUGUAGACAUAAAAACACAUGUGGUGCAGUGGUAGCUACAAACACAUUUGUGUGAGAGGUCGCGGGUUUGAAUCCCCUUGAGGCUUGUUUUUUUUAAUUUAAUUUUAGCUAGGUGUAGGAUAUACAAGUAGUAUAGAUUUAGUAAAACUAAAAUAUACAUACAAUAUUUUAGAGCACGAUAAAUACGUGUGUACAAAAAACUAAACGUAGAGAAGACACGACAGAGGAUAUAUAGAUAAAGGAUUUUUCAGAAAAAGUCGGUAAAGAAGAGAUACAGAGGAUGUAGUUUAAAAAAAAAAGUUGAGUUAGUAGCUCUAGAAAAGCCACGUCAAAUUGGGAAUAUGGAAAAGCUUUGAUGGCUGGGGUGAUUUUGCGCAGCAUCGUAAAGCCACAAAUAAAGAACUAAGAUGAAAGAUAAUUUUUAGUUGUUUACUUUGGAUUAAAGACAUCUCCUCGGACUCUGUAACUAUAAUUUAUAAAGACAAAGCAAUGUACAAAUAGUAGAAACCGUUUUAGAUUAAAACUUGAUUGUUUCUUCAGAAAAAAGAAAAAAGAUAAAAGAGAACUUCACCGUUUUUUAUUGGUUGAAAGAAAGGGGCAGAAAUUAUUCAAUAACCAAAGCCAAUUCUCGACGGUGGUGCUAGUGCGGCUGAAAUUCUAUAAUAUUUAAUUUAUAUCAACUUUUACUAAUUCUAUAAUAUUUUAUCUUUAUGUAUUACAAAUGCACCUAUUGAAACAGCUUUAAUCCAAAGGAAACGGCAGACUGCAGGUUCAAGGCAUGCAGCUGCAAGCUGCAACUACAGGUACUGCCAUCGCAAAUCAGUACAAAACGUGACUGCCUGUCCCUGGUUCUGUGAUUAACACAACUCUGCUACCUCCAUACCUAGACCAAUCAAGAUCACCCCAAAUGUAAUAUGUGAUGUGCUUCUUCUGCGCGAACAGGGAGAAGGGAUCCAUCAGGUGCA